rnacentral:lncRNA from 1 species
UGCUUAUUAAAUAAAUGUUGUUGACAAAUUUAUGGGUGUAGUUUCCAAAUACAGCAUAACAAUAUCAUGAUUAUAAUUAACAAAAUAUCCUCUAAAAAGAAUUAACAAAAUAAAUUAGUUCUGAGGUAUUGAUUGAAAUGGUAAAUAAUCUCAAUCAUCACAAAAAUGAGACUGUAAGUUUGAUUUCCGGAAAGCGCACCUUGUUGGGAAGAUCAAACUUUUACGCCCUCCAGCUCGAGAGAAAUUACACCUCCUAAUCAUAAAAAAAAAGUCAAUUUUAAAAAUUUGUACUCAUUUAGAUCGAAGAAAUAGAAACUUUUGGUGAACAUAAUUUUUUUUAAAAUCAUUUUGGAGAAUAAAUGGACCCUUAAUUAUCAAUUAUUUAUUCUUAUACUUAAUGAAGAUAGUAAUUAUGGAAAUACAAUACCUUAAUGCAAUUGUGCAUUCUUGUUUUCUUCUUUGAUUGUGUCUGCUUACGAGCUACCUUUUCUAUAAGCGAUUUGAUCAAAUUGAAAGCAGUAGAACGAAACUGUGCUGAUAAUAUAUUACAUACAAAAAAAAUUAAAAGUUAAUAAGGAAAGAAAAUGCUACGAAAAACAAUUUUUAUUGAUUACUUACGAAAAAAUUAUAUAAAUAUAUAUAUGCGUAGAAAUUGUAACAAAUUAUAGGGUUACGGCUCAAAAAAUAAUUCAAUUUAAUCUAAUUUGGGUUUUAAUUUGGUUUAGUAUAAGCUAUAAACUAUUUUAAACUAUUUUCAUUUUCAGUAUGAUCUCUUUUUUUUUUUUUUUUUUUAAAGAAACAAUUAUAAGCUAUAAACCAUGCUCUCUUCUUAUUUUGUUUUUCUUUAAUUAAUUAAUUAAUUAUCGUUUUAUGCAUUGCGAGGAGUAUUAUUUUAAAAUUUUUUAUUAAAUAAGAAAAGUACAAUUCAAGUCAAAAUUUUACCUUAAUAAUUGAUUGAAUAAUAUAGAUUUGAUUGGAUAAUAUAGAUUUGAUAUGUAUACCCAAAAACAUAAGCCAUUUUCUUAUAAAUUCAAAUAUAAAAAUUAAAUUGCUGAUAAACAAAAAGAAAAUAAAUAUUCAUUUCAAAAAUAUUUUCAUUUCCCAAAGCAAAACAAAGAAAUAUGAAGUAAAAUUAAUUAUGAAAAAUAGACAAAUUACUGAUGAAAUUUAGAACUAAAGUAUUGAGUAUUGACUCCCAUAGAAGAAAAUUAAACAAAGAUUAAAGUACCUGUACCAUGUAUCAUAUAAUUUGAUUAAAACAUUUCUUGUUCUCUUUUUUCACAAAGAUUAAUACAAGGAAAUGCUUUACAAAGGGUGCAUGUACUCUUGCUAAUUAUUAAGGCUCUAUUUAUUUUCGAAAAAUAAUUUAUUUUUGAAAAAUAUUUUCUAAAUGAUUUAUUUUCUGUUAUUUGAUUGUGAUAUUGAAAUUAGUUAAAAAUAAUAAAAUCUUUUAACUCAUAAGACCAUAAAAAUAUUUAUAAUAAUUAGAAAUUUUGGAUUUUAAAAAUUUUAUUGUUAACUAUGAGAAAAAUGUGAAAAAAAGAGAUAAAUUAUAAAAGUCGCUAGUAACAGAUGAUGGUGACUGAUGCUAAAUGAUGACUGAUAGUAAUGGCUACCGAUGAUGAAAAAAUUUUAAAAAAAAUGCAUUUGUAAGAUUAUAAUAAGUUUAUUAAUGUUUGAAAAAUGAUUUUCCGCUAAUGUUUUCCUCUCUUGAAAGCGGAAAAUCAUUUUUCUAAAAUAUGAUUUAGUUUUCUUUGAUUAGGAAAAUAUUUUCCAUUAAUUUAUUUUUCAAAAUUUUCCAAAAAAUGAAAAAUUGUAAAAAAUAUUUUUUUGCAAGUUAUUUUAUGAAAACAAACGGAGCUUAAGUUAAUAAAUUUUGACUCGUGGUGCAUCUGGUUCAAAUAGUUAGGGGGUCAAAAAAUAAUUUUAUUUAAUUAUGAUAGGCAAAAUUAAAAUUUAUUUUGUUAAAAAAAUUUACUUUGAAAUUUUAAAAAAAAUUGAUUUUGAAAUUUAUAUUUUUCUAUCUAAUAAUUGAUUAAGAAUAUCACAAUAAUAUCCAACUCUUUUGUUUUUAUAAUAACUAGUUUUUUUAUAACGUGCGUUGCAUGUUGACAAUGCUCGUUAUAUUUUUAUUUUUUAUAUGUUUUUAAUUUUUUAUCUAUAUAAUAUUAAAAUAUAAGUUUUUAUUUAGAUUAAAAUAAAUACAAUUAGUUAAUUUGUAUUAGACUUUACUGUAUAAGCUACUUGUAAUGUUAUUUCUUAUGUACUUGAUUCUAUUUUUAUAUAACGACGUAGUCUCAAAAUAAAGUUCGAUUCAAUCUUAUACCUAAUUCUUCAAUCGUAAUAUAUAAAUACAUAUUCUUAAAACCUGAUAGGUGCUCAAAAAAAAAAAAAAAGUUAUUACUCAAUCCCCAACCCUUACUCUUAAUCCCAAAUCAAUAUCUAUAUAUAGCUAUAAUAAAAAAUAAUAAUAAAUUUUUUUUACCGGUAGGUAAAAGAAAAGAAAUGAGAAGAUGAUCUGAAUUAAUAAUGGUAAUCAUUUUAGUUAUAGUGAUAAUAUGACUUACCCAGUGCAUUAGAGAAAGGAAUAUAUGAACAUACACAUAAACUCUUGAAACCUAAAAAAUGACCCAAAACAGAAAUAUAAAUUUUCAAUUUCAUAAACACUAUUUUCUUUCAAGUCAAACAUAUUUAGGAUAUAAAAGAAAAAAUAUCAAGAAAAUUAAAAAUGCUUAAUGAGGAGGCCAUCUAUUUAUCACAAGGGAGACAUAAGGCUCUUACUAAAUUAAAGUGAUAGUAGUUACAAAUUAAUUCAAUAACGAAAAAGAAAAUAAUAAAUAAUAAAUUUUUAUUACGAAUAAAACUUUUUUAAGAACUCAACAUAUAAUAAGAAAUAAAUUAUAUUAAAAGAAUUACCGAUUUAAAUUUCAAAAAUAACUCUGAAAAUGCAAUAAUUUAAUUAAAUUUGAUUUUUGAUGGAAGAAAAAACCAAGUCAAUAAAUGAAAAUUACAAAAUAAAUCAUUCUAGGAUCUAAUAUCGGUCACCUAAUGAGUUUAUUCAAAUAUUUUGUUUUUCUAUUGUUCUAAGUUGCAAAUUUAAAAUAAAUAAAUAAGUUAAUUAAGUAAUAAAAAAAUUACAUAAAAGAAACGUUAUAUCCUCUCCAAAUAAACCCACAAUUUUUCCUACAACGAUAAAGAAGUAUAUUUUUUCUUUUUUGAUUAUAUAUAUUUAUUUAUUUAAAAAAUAAUUUUUAGAAAUUAUAUUCAAUCAAAUAAUAAAAUGUAAUUUUUCUUUUUUUCAUUUUAACCAUAGAUAUCCCGAGCUCACUGGGCUAUAACUAAAUUAUGCUCAGAGUAGGUGUGCCCAAGAAAUAUUGAAGUGCUUCAAGAGAGUAUUUGCUCCAUCUGUGAGGGUCGCAUCCUCGACCUCAUCUAAAGGAAAAAAGUGUCGUACCACUCAUCCAAACACUCGUUGGUAUAAAAUGUAAUUUUUAAAUUGGCUAUAACUAAGACUAUUUUAGAAUAUUCUAAAUUUCAUUGAAGGCGAUAUCACAAAUCACAUUAUUUCCCCUAUUGUCACAUUUAUAUAUAGUAUAGAUAGAUAGAUAUCAAAAUAAUACCUUCAAUUUGAGGAAGAGAAGCCACAGCACCUUCUGUUGGAGGAGUGACAAAAACAGGAGCAUUCACCACACCAUGGAUUGGAGAAGGAGGUGUCAUAAAAACACUAAGAGGAGCUUUUUGGUUUGUCAUUUGAUUUUCAAAGAUUAUAUUAUAUGCCUA